UUUAUAUGAGAGUUUGAUCCUGGCUCAGGACGAACGCUGGCGGCGUGCCUAAUACAUGCAAGUCGAACGCACUGACGUCGACCGAAGCUGCUUGCAGUGGACGUUGAUUGACGUGAGUGGCGGACGGGUGAGUAACACGUGGGUAACCUACUUAAGUGGGGGAUAACAUUUGGAAACAGAUGCUAAUACCGCAUAACCAUUCAGACCACAUGGUCUGAAUGUAAAAGACGGCCUUUGGCUGUCACUUUUGGACGGACCCGCGGCGUAUUAGUUAGUUGGUAAGGUAACGGCUUACCAAGACAAUGAUACGUAGCCGACCUGAGAGGGUAAUCGGCCACAUUGGGACUGAGACACGGCCCAAACUCCUACGGGAGGCAGCAGUAGGGAAUCUUCCACAAUGGACGAAAGUCUGAUGGAGCAACGCCGCGUGAGUGAAGAAGGUUUUAGGAUCGUAAAACUCUGUUGUUGGAGAAGAACAGGGACUAGAGUAACUGUUAGUCCUUUGACGGUAUCCAACCAGAAAGCCACGGCUAACUACGUGCCAGCAGCCGCGGUAAUACGUAGGUGGCAAGCGUUGUCCGGAUUUAUUGGGCGUAAAGCGAGCGCAGGCGGUUUUUAAGUCUGAUGUGAAAGCCUUCGGCUUAACCGAAGAAGUGCAUUAGAAACUGGRAAACUUGAGUGCAGAAGAGGACAGUGGAACUCCAUGUGUAGCGGUGAAAUGCGUAGAUAUAUGGAAGAACACCAGUGGCGAAGGCGGCUGUCUGGUCUGUAACUGACGCUGAGG
rnacentral:rRNA from 2 species